UGAGAACAGCAAGAUUAAUAGGACGUUAGCGAGUUAUUGAUAGUAAGCUUUCCUUUUUUUAAAUGACCUCAGCUGGAAGAGGAAUUGAAAGCACAGAUUGAAAUGUGGGAAAAGGAACAUUCCAAGGCUUUUGUGGUGAAUGGCCAGAAAUUCAUAGAAUAUAUGAUGGAACAGUGGGAGAUGUUUCAUUUGAAGAAAGAGAAAGAAAAGCAGGAGCAAAUGCUGAAUCAUAUACAGGUUGGUAGAGAUACUUAGAGGAUGUACUGGCAGAAAUGGACAUAAGCAGACCUUCUGUGGACGGCUGCAGCGGCUGCACUCCAGCCUCCUCAGGGUGUGAUCUAUCUGCAGCUCCUAGAGCCUGCCUGCUCAGUUGCCACCAUUCUUUGGGUCAGAGAAAGACAGCGCUGCUGCAGCUGACUCCAUGGAGCUCUCACCCUCCCUUGCUGUCUCCAGCGGUAUGAGGACUCCGUUGCCACCGCACCAGACCCCACCAACCACCGCUUCCAUCUCCAUGACGUGCUCUGGCUGUCACACCAUACCACAAAGUGCUACUGGCCUCAUUUCUCUCUGUGGACUCAUCAAUGGAACUGAAAAGUGUCAUCACACUUGCCGUGUGAACCUUGGAGACAAAGGUAUGACCAGAGCUGAAUAGAUGAAGGGAAGUGGAGUAGAAGAGCUUAAAGAGUUUGAACUUGGGAAGUGUGCAAGUAGUUACAAGCUCAUCUGCACUUGGAUACUGGAAGUUUUCACUUGAAAUCUCACUUCAGCUCGAAGUUGAAGCAACCUGGUUCAUUCACCUUGACAAACUAAGCUUCAAAUAACUCCUUUGUAAAAUAUAGGGAGGACUGGCUCUUACCUUACUCACCAGCCAUGAUAACGCAAUGUCAAAAGAAGUCCAGAAAUCACAAGAUACUGACAAUCACAUCAUCUUCAUCACCACCAUAACUGUCAUUCCUAUGAUUGGAGCUAUACUUC
rnacentral:lncRNA from 1 species